rnacentral:tRNA from 1 species
AUUUAUAUAGUUUAAAAAUAAAACAUUACAUUUUCAUUGUAAAAAUAAUAUAGAUUUUAUUUAUAAAUA